rnacentral:rRNA from 1 species
AUGCAAGUCGAACGCGCGGAUCAGGAGCUUGCUCCUGUGACGCGAGUGGCGGACGGGUGAGUAACACGUAGGCAACCUGCCCAUCAGACUGGGAUAACCACGGGAAACCGUGGCUAAUACCGGAUAAUCCUUUUCCACACAGGUGGAAAAGUUGAAAGGCGGCUUCGGCUGUCACUGAUGGAUGGGCCUGCGGCGCAUUAGCUGGUUGGUGGGGUAACGGCCCACCAAGGCGACGAUGCGUAGCCGACCUGAGAGGGUGAUCGGCCACACUGGGACUGAGACACGGCCCAGACUCCUACGGGAGGCAGCAGUAGGGAAUCUUCCGCAAUGGACGAAAGUCUGACGGAGCAACGCCGCGUGAGUGAAGAAGGGUUUCGGCUCGUAAAACUCUGUUGUCAGGGAAGAACGCCGACGGGAGUAACUGCCCGUCGGGUGACGGUA